GAACGCACAUUGCGCCCCUUGGUAUUCCGAAGGGCAUGCCUGUUCGAGCGUCAUGAUCAAAUCUCAAGCCUUUGCUUGGUAUUGGGUUUUCGUCUAUAUUCUGUCUCUGUACAGGGAGUGACGUGCCUGAAAAUCAAUGGCGGUGCCUCAAUAGACUCAAGCGUAGCAGACUGACUCUCGCUUUAGAGAACCUUUUGGGGGUCCUGUCAACCAAAACAAUCAAGUUGGACCUCGGAUCAGGUAGGGAUACCCGCUGAACUUAAG
rnacentral:misc_RNA from 1 species